UACGGAGGGUCCAAGCGUUAUCCGGAAUCAUUGGGUUUAAAGGGUCCGUAGGCGGUUUUGUAAGUCAGUGGUGAAAGCCCAUCGCUCAACGGUGGAACGGCCAUUGAUACUGCAAGACUUGAAUUAUUAGGAAGUAACUAGAAUAUGUAGUGUAGCGGUGAAAUGCUUAGAUAUUACAUGGAAUACCAAUUGCGAAGGCAGGUUACUACUAGUGGAUUGACGCUGAUGGACGAAAGCGUGGGGAGCGAACAGG
rnacentral:rRNA from 1 species